ACCUUCCAACAAUUUCAUUGCGGUGAGUCAUUAUCUAUUACUUCUUUUUACUUUGUUUAUGUGCUGAAUUUUUACAUGUAAAAAAUGUUUAGGGCUAUUUUGGAAUGUUUUUGAAUUCUUUUAGUUCACACUGAUGUCUCAGGUAAUAAAUUUGAUCAUGGUUAUAUGCCGGAAAAACUUGGAAAUAAUUCAAUUGAACUGUGUAUGAUCCCUGAAGUUCUUCUCUUCCAGAAUGGGUGGUGCACUGAAGGGAGCACAGGUAAUUGACAAUCUGCCAACUAUUGGGAUUGAUGAGACUGUGCAUGAUCUGCCUGCCCCUGAAGUCCCUCUCGAUGAGCCCUUGAGUCUUGAGCUGCCGAUUUUGCCAGGCCCUCAGAAGGUCCUCAAUGCACUGGUGUCUUGAGGACUGGUUUAGUGUGUGACAGUGUUGCCCCAUUUUCAACAAACAUCGGCAUCAGGGGCACUGCAAUGAGUGUUGAAUGGAUCUGCCCCAAUGGACAUUGCCUAUGGCGGUGGAAUUCACAGCCUGUGUUGAAGUUUGGCAUGCAGGCUGGGGACUUUCUUCUUUCCACUAACAUUUUACUUUCUGGAAACAACUACACUGAAGUUGCUCUCCUAUUUAAAUUCAUGAACAUACAAAUGGUAAACACCAACACACACUACACCAUCCAGGACACCUACUGUGUUGACACUAUUAAAGAUUUUU